rfam:Galdieria sulphuraria unplaced genomic scaffold scaf_35, whole genome shotgun sequence.
GCCAAAGUAGCUCAGCUGGUAGAGUACUCAAUUCGUAAUUGAGUUGUCAUGGGUUCAAAUCCCUUCUUUGGCU